UGCAACCAAGGGCAUGUAAAACUGUAUCAAGUGUUUUGAGCCAGUUGUUUAGAAGAAAAACAUAACAGUAAAAGGUUUCGUUGAAGGAAAUUGUGCCUAAUUAAAGAAGGGAUUGAAAGUUAUUCACUCUUACAAAACAAGGGAAAACUAUGCUUCCCAAUAAGGAUGAUCAAGCCAUGGCUGCCUUCUUCUGAUCUUCCUCGAGCUUCUUCAGUUCUACCAGUCUUUCUACCCAUGCUCUACAUUGACUCGUCAAGAAGAGAUAGACGUAAAAUAGAAAACCCCAUAUAUAUAGACAUAUACAUGAAUAAAACCUCAAACUUCAAAGGAAUGGAGUGAAUUAUCGAAGUCCUUGAAAGAAGGUUCUUUAGCCUCUGAAUGGUCAUAUGAAGAAUGAUAUAUACAAUGAUCCAGAUAGCACUGAGCCUUAAGUUGCCAACUUCAAUGCUUGAUCCCAACCAAGAAAAUCCAGUGAGCCAACAGUAAGGAAAAAAGUCUGUAUAAAAAGACAGAUCCUCAGGACAUGAAAGUAGACCCAAUCAACAUGCACGUAGAUAUUUCCAGGUCAAGGAAGAUCAAAUAGAUAGUGCAUUGACAAGGAAGAAGGCGUGCGUUCUCAUACUUGAUUAUCUCUUUCUAUCUGGUUAUAUGCUUGAAACCACACAAAGCAAUAAGUGCUAGUAUAUGUAAAAAUCUCCAACUCUUGAAUCCAUUUCCAUCUAUGCAAAAACAAAAAGAUACAUGACAGCCUUUUCCACGUUUCAUCAAAUAAAAAAAAAGUAUUGCUGUGGAUUUAGUUUUAUAAGUGUCUUUUUAAUAUUGUUGUCAUUCUUCUUUAAUUUUCGUGUUGUUUGUUUCAUUGAAGCCAAAAGAAAGUGGAGUCAAAAGUAGGUAAGAGUUAAUAUUUUAUUUUUUUUCUUUAUAAAUUUAUGACAGGUGAUUCAAACCUUAAGUUUUAUUUUGUUCUUUCACUACAAGAAAAUAGGGUUUUCGUGAUGACGAUUGUCACCACGAAAAAGUAAAAUGUCGCCACUAAAAUACCUUUCGUGGCGACAGAAUGAUUGUGAACUAUACUUUUUUGCAGUGACACAUGCUAGUAGCCACAAAAGAUUAAUUUACAUGGCGACGUAUGUUGCCACAGAUAGUGUUUCAAAAUUGUCAUCACAACUCACUCCAAAGAUAUCGUCGCCACUAAAUAGUGGGCUUUGGUGGCGACUUAUAUCGCCAUAUUAGAGAAUUAGUAGAGAACGUGAUUGCCACAAAAAAGCUUACUUUUUGUGGCUAUGUUUGUGUCCACUAAUUAUGUUUUAGUAUUAAUUUGAUGUCGCCACUGAUCCCGACUUUUUAUGAUGCUGCAAUGUUGCCACUAAAUUAUUUUUAGUGGCAAGAAGUGAUCUCCACCAAAACUGUAGUUUUUAUGGCACCGAAACAUCGCCGCAUAAACAUUAAUUUUUGUGUCAACGAAACAUCAUAUCGCCACAAACUCUUCUUUUCGCAACGUUUAAUAUAUAUUACCACUUCAAAAGAAUUUUUCUAUUUGAAUAUAAUUAAUAUAAAGCUAUAAAUAUUAUACUAAUGAAUGAGAAAAUAUACAACCUGUUAUCAUUCUGCUCAAAAUAAAAUUAUAUAGAAACUUUUUUUGCAAAAAGUUCUAUGCAAUACAGUAGUGUCAUUGCAAGACACAAAUAAAAGAAGAAAAUAUAAUGUCUUUAAAUAAACUCUAAUAGCUUCUACCAUAAACAAAAAAUCAAAAAAGUGUCUUCAAACUACUUUUUGAGCUACUUUACUUCCUCGUUCUUGAAGUAUUUUUUCCCAACUGUUCAAAAAAAUUAAACAUCAUUAAUGUAUGUGGCUACAAUUAAUUAAAAAAGUACCACAAAAAAUUAUUUUAAAUGAGGUGCCAUAACUAGCUGCAAACAAUAGCUCAAUCAAUAAAGAAAAAGUAUAGCAUUAAUCUAAAUCUUUACCAUAUUUAACUAAAUAGGAAUGCUAAAAUGAUAGGCGGAGUUACCAAUUGGACCUCCAAGCUCUAAUCUUAUGCUGGCAGGUUACAACUUGUGAAAUCUGUCUUGUUUAGCAUCCAAACCUUUUGGUCUCAAAUCUUUCUACUCCCUAAGAAAGUGAUUACAGAAAAUUGAAGGAAAGGUGCCUUUUAAGUCUUGAAUGAAGGAUUGGUGACAUUGACCAACUUAAAGGGUCAAACAUAAUUAGAAAACUUGAUUAAGUUAAUUGUGGACUUGAUUAAUAUUUUUAAAACUUUCUAAUCUUUUCAAAAAUACAAAUCAACCCUACCCACACCCCUCUUCAAUCCCAAUCAACCCUCUUCUCUCUCUCUCUGGACAGCUUCUCCCAGCCAACAGUUCUACAAAUUUCUCCUUCCAAUCUCCAACGACUUCAACCUCCGAUAAUAAAUAGUUGGGCUUCGAGUUUCUUUUCGACUUCAACCUUCAAUCGACAUGACAGUCUUACUCUCCGGCCACAACAACUUUGAAUUCUUCAUCGUUCUUUUUCUUCAUUCACAGGUAAAAAAUUAUGGCUAUUUUAGUUUUGAAGAAAACGAGGAAUUUGAGCCAACUUCUCUUAUAGUAUUGGUUAACAAUUUCAAUAUUUAUUGCUUAAAUUUGAAAUGCGGUCUAAAUAUAACCCUAAUUUCUGGUAUUUCUUCUCUUCUCUUUUCGAAGUGAAUUAUAAUUUUUUGUUGUUUGUUGUAUUUUUUAGAGUUUGAUUUUUCAUGUUGCGCCAGUUGCUGAGUUGAUUUAUUAUGUUUUUAUUCUUGGUAAAAAUGGUGAUAUUGUUAUUUUUUUGUUGAACAAAAUCGUGCUACUGUUUUUUUUCUCCAACAGAUUAUCCAUCUAGUGCAUCAGAUUUAUCAUAUGAUACAACAGAUCAACCAUCUAAUGCAACAGAGGAACCAUCAAAUUAAAAUUCUGAUGCAACAGAUUAACAUCUAAUGCAACUGAUUCACCAUCUGAUGCGACAGAUUAAUCAUCUGAUGCAAUAGAGAAACCAUAAGAUAAAAAAUCUGAUGCAACAGAUUUAACAUAUGAUGCAACAGUUUAACUAUUUGAUGCAACAGAUUAAUUAUAUGUUGCAACAGAUUAAUCAUCUGAUGUAACAAAUUUACUAUCAGAUGCAAUAGAGGAACCAUAGGAUUAAAAAUCUGAUGCAAUGGAGGAACCAUUGGAUUAAAGAUUUGAUGCAACAGAUAAACCUUCUAUUGGAUAAAAUCCUAUCAACUCUUCCAACAGAGCAUGUCUAAGACUUGAUAUUUUCAACUGAUCAUUCAUCUGCCGCGAUAGACAACCCUUCUGUUGGAAGAAAUCUAAACAAUGUUGAUCGUUGAUAAUUGUUCCAACAAAUCACUUAAUGUUGCAACAGAUGUGUGACCUGUUGCACAGACCAUUCAUCUUUCUCAACAGAUAAGUGAUAUAUUUUAUAUUAUCACAACAGAUUACUCAGUCGUUGCUAUAGGUUAGUUAAUUAUUCCGAAAGAUCACUCAUAUAUUGCAACAGAUGUGUGAUCUGUUGCACAGACCAUUCAUUUUUCUCAACAGAUGAGUGGUAUGUUUUGUAUUAUUACAACAGAUUACUCAACCAUUGCUAUAGGUUAUUUAACUGUUCCAAUAUAUGACUCAUAUAUUGCAACAGAUGUGUGAUCUGCUGCAAAGACUAUUCAUUUUUCUCAAUAGAUGAGUGAUAUAUUUUGUAUUAUUGCAAUAAAUUACUCAUAUGUUGCAACAGGUUAUUUAACUGUUCUAACAGAAUAUUCAUAUAUUGCAACAGAUAUGUGAUCUAUUGCACAAACUAUUUAUCUAUCUUAAAAGAUGAGUGAUAUAUUUUGUAUUAUUGUAACAAUUUCUCAUCCACUGCAACAGGUUAGUUAUAUGCUGCAAUAGAUAUACUACCUGGUGCAACAGAUCAAUGAUCUGUUGGAACUAUUAUUUACUAUUUUUCUUAUUAGAUUUACUGUUAUCCUUUUUAAUGAUGCAUUAAUCAACUAUAAUAUAUUUUUUCGUGUUCCUGUUAAUUUUAGAUAAUAUGGCUCCCAGAAGAAUAAAAACCGAAACAAGUCCAAGUAAAGGAACAAGUGAAGCAGCUAGGCUACAUCCACCACUAUAUGAGCUUUCUUUACAAGCGUUAUCUCAAUCAGGAGCAGAAUAUGAUGAGCACGCGGGGGAGAAAUAUUUCAAAAGAGAUAAUCCAAAUGCUAAUAGCCUUCCACCAAUGAGUUGGUCAAAACCUUCAGCAUUCGUUAUUAUCCUGUGAGAAUGCAGUGUGAUGGUGCCACAGAUUUAACGGGUGAUUUCAUGAUUAAGUCAGUCAUGGAAAAAUCUUUUGACGCCUUUAGAAAAAUACUCCGAGAAAAAAAAAUGGAUGCUUAUUUCAGGGAUAGCUACUUUAGAAAAGAUCUUAAUUUGCCGGAGGACAACAAUGCUCAUUUUCAAAUAAAAAUGGUAUAUGAACUUCUCAAGCGUAUGUUUAUGUAUGAAAACAAAGAUAAGAUGGAUGAGGUGUGGAUAAAUUACUGUGGUAUUCCUGUUUGUUUUGAUUGGAAGGAGUUUGCCAUAGUUACUUGACUAAAAUGUUAUCCUCCUUCUCCUUCUCAAGUUAUACCUAUUCUGACCCAAAAAAAAAAUACCCCGCACACCCAAAAAAGGCAAAGGCAAGUCGUGUGAUCGUGAUGACCUGGUGUCCAUUAUUGGUCCAAGCUUCAAAAAUAAAAAUUUGAUAGAAGCGUUGUAAGGUAAAGGACUUUCAAAGAAGCACAAGCAAUCAUUGUGCUUGGUUUAGUUUGUACAUAAUAUUCUUUAGGCGAGAGACGUUAAUAACAACAUAAGCAUUGGUUUAAUAAAUCUCUUCAAGGAUCUUGAGGCAUUUAACAACUAUCCUUGGGGUUAUAAAAGCUUCAAAAUGACUGUCAAAUAUUUGUUGACUCUGUUAGCACCAAAGACAGUCAAUUAUAUGGCUUUCCAUGGGCUUUCAUGGUAAAUAUUUCCUUCUUUUGUUAUGAUAUCAUUCAUUUUCUUUACUUACUAAUGGUUUUGAUUUAUUGGCAUUAUUUUAUAGGCUUGGGCAUUUAAAGCCAUUCCUUUUUUGAGACAACAAGUGAACUAUCAGGAAGAAGUUUCCUGUCCAAGAAUCUUAUGAUGGUUGUCGGCCAAAACUGAUAAAAAUACAAAAUUUCUUGAUCUCUUCAACCCCCCGAAGGAUGCAGUAAGUAUAAUUAUAAUUAAUUUUUUAUUUUAAUUAAUGAUUUUUUUUGAAUAAUUUAAUCAUCAUUCUAAUAUAUGUAAUGAUUUAUGUUAGAUUAUGCAUCCAUCGCUAGUUCCGACCAUUCGAGAGUUGAAGAUGCUAGUUUUUAUUACUUUAUGGUCUGUACAAACUUUAUCGGAUCCUAAGGUCACUGACAGAACAAAAAUGAAAUUGUUUGGAGCAAUAACUGUUACAAGAAAAAUAAUUUUGGAGAGUUAAUUUCGGAGGGUGAGCUUGUUGUUAUUAAUGGUCUUAGUGGUGAUGGAGCUUUUGGUGGUGGUUGUGGUGCUGCUGUUGAUGCUAAUGAUGCUCCUCUUACAGUAUUUAAAACAAACCAUUAUGAGUAUGAUUAUACUAGUUAUACAGAUUUUGCCUCUCCCGGCGAAUGUUCUACAUGCAAAUGUCAAGACUGUAAGUCAAAACAUGAUGUAGUGAUUAAUGAUAUUAAUGCAUUAACUGCUUCUAUAAAAGAAUUGCAUCUAAGAGGGGUGUCAUUUCAUCAAAGAGAAUUUUAUAUCCAUCCACCUCAUUAGAGAUUAAGACUAAGAGGAGAAGGAAAGUGAUUUCCAAGACAUUAUCAAGCAUCCAAAAAAGCAAAAUUGCAAUUCCUCUGUCUAUGUGUUGCACUGAGCAAUGUACAAUGUCCAAAGAAGAGCAACACGAGCUGAAGAAGGUGAAUAUAUAUGUUUGUUCCAACUAACAAACAGACACAUAUCUGUUUCAGCAAAUGACAUAUCUGCUAAAAAUUAUCAAACAUAUAUAUAUAUUUGUUGCACCAGAUAAAGUAUCUGUUGUGAUAUAUGUCUUGUCUGUUUUGGCAAAUCAAACAGCUCUUCACACCGAUUUUAUUUAAACCAAUAGAUGACCUAUCUGCUGCAACAAAUAAGUCAUAUAUUGCAAUAGAUGGUUCAUCUUUUGGAGAUUAUCAUAUAGGUCUUCCUCAUGUAGAUAUUUUCCCCAACAGUUGAUUCAUUGUUCCAACAAAAAUAUAAUAUAUUUGGGAUAAUUUAAAAUAGGAGGAAGACAUAUUUCAUUUGCUAAAACAGAUGAGUUAUCUUUUUUCGUUUUGUUGUAUCUUAGUGAUUAGCAUUGAUCAAUUUUGGAUUUCCAGGUGGAUGUAGAAGCUACUAUUGAACAACAUUGACAAUAUGCUACUCUUUUUAUGGAAACAGGGAGAGCAGAAAACGCAGAAACUGUACGUAAGCGACAAUAAAGAUCCUUGACGACCAAAGCCGAAUUCCAAGCACCAGAUGAAGAAUAACUUAUCCAUAUUGAGUAGAUCUUUAUAGAUUGAGUCUGUCAAAGUAAUAACCUCACCCCUCCUUAGGAAUCCUUGGCAUCAAUACUUAAAUUGUUGAUGUAUUUGUUAAGAUCUGUGCCCAUAAUAAUUUUUUUACAUUUCAUUUAUUCAUUGAUUUAUUUCAGUUAAUUUCUGAAGGCUUCGAUUUAUUUUAUUUUGUCUAUGAAUUUUAAUUUUUCCUUUGAUUUAAACUUAUUAAUUGAAAUGAAAUACUAGAUUCAAAAUGUUGCAACAGAUAAUGUGUUUGUUGCAACAGACGACACAUCUGCUGGAAAAUAUCAAACAGAUUUAGACAUAUGUUGCAACAGGUAGGUAAUUUGUUGGAAUUUAUCAAACAGGUAUUCCCACUAUUGUAACAGAUAGACUUAGAUAGAAACAUCAACAUAAUGCAACAAAUGAUCAACCUAUUACAACAGAUAAACUAUAUGUCAGAAUAGGUAGAAUAUUUAUUGCAACGGAUGGAGAAUCUAUUGCAUUAUAAAAAUUUAACUUUCAUUGGACAUAAAAAAUUGCCACUACAUGUAAAAAAAUGAAAGUGAAUUGAAAUAAAAAAGGCAAAACCUAUCGACAGUGUUCAGUUCAUAACACCUAAAAUAAAAUAGCCAUCAAGUAGACAAUGUUCAUUUUAAACACGUAAAAUAAAAUAGGCAUCAAAUGUGUCAGUUUGACACUUUUUGCCCUGUUGGAUGCUUGUGUGUAAUUCACGCAGCCAAGGCUUACCGAACCCUCAUUUUUGCUGACUUGGCGUCUGAUUUGGCCCCCAACGGUCAUUUUUCUCCUAUUGUCUUAUAUAUUCAUCUUCUUCCUAAAAUUUAACCCUAAAUUCCCAAAUCUUGUUCUUCAUCAUCAUCUUUUUUUAUCUAUCCAAAUUCUUCAAAUUAUUUACAUUUAGUUUUUCUUUCUUCAUCUUUUUUUUAUUUUUUUCAACCGAGCUUGACAAUGUUGAGUGCAUCUUCCGCUAUUUUUUGUGAUAAAGAUUUCUGAUAUUAUAAGUGCGGUUAUGAAUCUCUAUUGAAGACUUCUUGGACUCGAAAAAAUUCAGGUCGUAGGUUUUUUACUUGUAAGAUUUCAAAGGUAAUAUUUUUUUAUUUAAUUAGUUGAUUAAUUACUGACUAUUAAUUGCUUUGUAAUUGUGUUUUUGUUUUAAUAGAAAUUGGGUGGAUGCGAUUACUUUGAUUGGUAUAAAGAACGACACCCUUCACAAAAAAAUCGUGUAAUUUGGGGUUUGUUGAAGAAAGUCAAGGCUUCUGAAGAGAAAUAAAAUCGAGCAAGUAGAUACUACAUUAUUGCCAUUAUUGCUACUGAUUUGGUGUCGUUGGGCAUAUGGAUAUUGUAAUACCCCACACUUUUCCUAGUUCAAAUUCAUCUCUACAACAUCAAAGAUCUUGCUUCAAAGAUAAAUUUUAUUCCAUAAAAUUUUUUUAAGAUUUGACUUUUUAUCACAUGGAAAAUUAAAUAAGUUUUCCAUCGAUAUCAAAUUCGCCCAAAUUCGACACUCGGACAAAAAAUUAGAGCCAUUUUAGUGAGACAGUGUACCACCUGGUACUUUGGCGCGUCGCGGAGUCAGCUAAAAUGACAAUUGUCAAAAUCCAGUGAGCCUCCACGAUUAUGGCGCGUCGCGCCAAGGCUCAAUUUCAGAAUUAUCAAAUUUCAGUAGCUCACUGUUUUCCACCGCGUCACAGUGAAGCUUUUAUAGGCAUUCUAGUUCUGAAUUUUAAUUCCAUGGGCAAAAUAGUCAUUUUGCUAUCCCUAUAUAUACUCUUUAACACAAGAUUCAGCCACAUUGAACUCAAAUAUUGUUGUUUUCUCUCAAUUUUCCUCAAAAACAAGAGCUAGGGUUACAAAAUCAAGACCUCAAUCAUCAAGGUUUCACCAUUAAUCUUUCGAGGAUCAAGUAGUAAGGUAUGCAGAUGUUGAUUCUUGGGUUCCUUACACCCAAGAAGUUCAAGAAUCCCUUUUUAAAUUCAAAGGAUACGAUUUUAUGAGUUUUUCAUGAUUCACGUGAAUUGAAGUUCAUGUUCAUGUUAUUGUUGAGUUAUAAUUCAUGCUUUAGAAUACAAGUUGCAAGCUUUGAUCUUGAUUUGGGUUGAAUUACAUUAUGUCCUUAUUUUUCAUCAUUAACUUAAAUGCCCUUAUUUUUUUAAAAAAAUAACAAAUAUAGAAAUCUUCUCAAACUCUGUUACCUACAAAGACAGAGAAACGACUGAUAUAAGCCAGAAUGAAGUAAAAAAUAACAUCCAUGUGGUUAGAAAUAAGAAGAAAAUCGAUCUAUUGUGAAGGGCUGAGCAAUUUAUUGAGUAGUUGUGUAUACUGUAUUGUUGAGAGAGAGAAAAGAGUGAGAACUCGAGAUUUGAAAUGAUGAAACAUUUUUAUCGCAAAUGGAUGAUCUGUAUAGGUUGAUUUGUAUUUUAAAAAAUAAUGAAAAGAUUUUAAAAAUGUUAAUUUGGUCCGAAUUGAUCUUAAUUAUUUUUUAAAAUUAUAAAAGAUAUGCAUAAUUUUUAACCCUCUCAUCAUGCAAUUGCCAAAAGACACAAUUGAAGUUGUAGUUGACUCUAUUAACUCACCCCUGGUCCUAGAUUAAUCAAUUUAAGUAUUAGUUGAACAUAUGAACUCAAUUAAAAUUGUAUAAACAGAAAAGGUACAAAUAUACCCCUGAACUUUGAUAAAUGGUAUAGAUAUACCCUCCAUCAUACUUUAGGUAUAAAUAUACCCUUGCCGUUAAUGAAAAGGAACAUAUAUACCCCUGAACUUUGAUAAAUGGUAUAGAUAUACCUUUCAUCAUACUUUAGGUAUAAAUAUACCCUCCAUCAUACUUCAGAUUACGCAUGUGUUGUAAAUUAUCAAUCAGAUUAAGUCAUUUGUUGCAAUAGAUUAUCCAUCUAUUGUACAUUAUCAAACAAAUUAAGUCAUCUUUUGUGAUAGAUUAUCCAUCUAUUGUAAAUUAUCUAAUAGAUUAAGUCAUUGAUCACAACACAUCUAUUGUAAAAAUAUCAAAUAAGUACUAUCAUCUAUUUUAGUUGACCCUAUGAGAACUCACCCCUAGUCCUAGAUUAAUCAAUUAAGGUAUUAGUUGAACAUAUGAGGUAAUAAAAAUUGGUUCACCUCAGAGUGAUCGAUCGACAAAUCUGGUCGGAAGAAACAUAAUACUGUCUCAUCAUGCAAUCGUCAAAAGACUCAAUUAAAGUUGUAAUUGACCCUAUGAAAACUCAUCCCUAGUCCUAGAUUAAUCAAUUAAGGUAUUAGUUGAAUAUAUGAGGUAAUAAGAAUCGGUUCAUCUCAGAGUGAUCGAUCGAUGACUCUGGUCGGGAGAAACACAAUAUUGUCUCAUCGUGCAAUUUCCAAAAAACUCAAUUGAAGUUGUAGUUUACCCUAUGAGAACUCACCUCUAGUCCUAGAUUAUUCAAUUAAGGUAUUAGUUAAACAUAUGAGGUAAUAAGAAUUAGUUCAUCUCAUAGUGAUCGAUCGACGAUUCUAGUUGGGAGGAAUCCAAUACCGUCUCAUCAUGCAAUUACCAAAAGACUCAAUUGAAGUUGUAGUUGACCCUAUGAUAACUCACCCCUAGUCCUAGAUUAAUCAAUUAAGGUAUUAGUAUGACAUAUGAACUCAAUUAAAAAGUAUAAAAACAAAUGUUUAACCUGUUGCAACAGAUUAACCAUAUAUUGUAAUUUAUCAAACAGAUUAAGUCAUUUAUUGUAACAGAUUACCUAUCUAUUGUAAAAUAUCAAACAAAUUAAGUUACCUGUUGCGACAGAUUACUAUUUUAUGUAAAUUAUCAAAGAGGCAUUGCCAUCUGUUAUAGUUGACCCUAUGAGAACUCACCCUUAGUCCUAGAUAAUCAAUUAAGGUAUUAGUUGAAUAUAUGAGGUAAUAAAAAUUGGUUCAACUUAGAGUGAUCGAUCGAUGACUCUGAUCGGGAGAAACGCAAUACCAUCUCAUCAUGCAAUUGUCAAAAAAACUCAAUUAAAGUUGUAGUUGACCCUAUGAGAACUCACCCCUAGUCCUAGAUUAUUCAAUUAAGGUAUUAGUUGAACAUAUGAGGUAAUAAGAAUUGGUUCAUCUUAGAGUGAUCGAUCGACGACUCUGGUCGGGAGGAAUGCAAUACCAUCUCAUUAUGCAAUUGCUAAAAGACUCAAUUGAAGUUGUAGUUAACCCUAUCACCUCUAGUCCUAGAUUAAUCAAUUAAGGUAUUAGUCUAACAUAUGAACUCAAUUAAAAUUGUAUAAAACCAAGUGUUCAACCUGUUCCAACAGAUUAACCAUAUGUUGUAAUUUAUCAAACAAAUUGUCAUUUGUUGCAACAGAUUGCCCAUUUGUUGUAAAAUAACAAACAGAUUAAGUCAUUUGUUGCGACAGAUUACCCAUCUGUUGUAAACUAUAAAAUAAGAGCUUCCAUCUGUUGUACUUGACCCUAUGAGAACUCAUCCCUAGUCCUAGAUUAAUCAAUUAAGGUAUUAGUUAAAUAUAUGAGGUAAUAAGAAUCGAUUCAUCUCAGAGUGAUCAAUCGACGACUCUGGUCGGGAGGAACGCAAUAUCGUCUCGUCAUGCAAUUGUCAAAAGACUCAAUUAAAGUUGUAGUUAACCCUAUGAGAACUCAAACCUGGUCCUAGAUUAAUUAAUUUAGGUAUUAGUCUAACAUAUGAACUCAAUUGAAAUUGUAUAAAAUAAAUGUUCAAUCUGUUGCAACAGAUGUCUUUUCUGUUGGAUUUAAUGAAACAGAUGAAGUCAUCUAUUGCAACAUAUUACUCAUCUGUUGUAAAUUAACAAACAGUCAUUGCCAUCUAUUGCGACAGAUGACCGAGCUUUGGGAAUUUUCAAAGAGAAAUUGUUAUUUAUUGCACUUAGAUGUUUUAAGAUCCUUUUUAUUAAAGCAAUUUAGGUAUUUCUUGUCCAAGAUAAAAAAAAAGAUAAAAUACUAAGGUGGUAAAAAAUAUUACUUGGAUAACUCAAAAAUCUCUUGAGUGAGUAGUCUUAUUUGGUUUUUUCAAUGUCACCAUCUCCUCGUGCCCCUCAAAAGUUAUUAAUGAAUAUUUAAAACUCAUAUCUAGAAUACUCUCUCCUUCAUCCAUAAAGUAAGACUCAACUCAUCUCUCUUAUUUAUUCUUAAUUCUCUUUUUUUCUCUCUUCUUUCGGAUGAGGAUCCUUUUGGAUCUCAAUCGAUCAAUAUUUUUUCUCGAUUGAACUGGAUGUUCUGAUCCCUUUGCUUUUUUGACAUUGCAGGUAUGGUUCACUAUUGUUCUUUCCAUCUUGUCUUCUUCUUUGUAUGUCAUUUAAAUUAGAUAUUUACAUUUAUUGCUAUUAAUGAUUUACCCAUUACCGAUUUCCUAUUUAUUGAGAAAAUUGAAGGAAAGGUGAGUUUUAAGUCUUGAAUGAACGAUCCAUUAUUUUUAUUACAACAUGCAAAAAAAAGUCAUUUGUUGGGAGAACCUAAAAAGCCUUAUUGUCAGUAUAUUUUUUAUGUCUUUUGUUUGUUACUUUGGUGUUGCUAUUGUUGGGGGUGGUGGUCGUGUUGGAACAUAUGGUGUUUGUGUUAUUGAUGGUGCUGGAAUAUAUGGUGUUGUUUCUUUAUUGUUGAUGCUAUUGGUGGUGGUGUUGCAACAGUUUCCUCAACUGUUACAACUGAUGAAUCAACUGUUGGAACAGACGAAGCAACUGUUUGAAGAAAUCAAAUCAGUAGCAAGGUUGGUUUGAUUUAUUCCAACAGAUGACCCAUCUGUUGUAAUAUUUCAUCCAUUUGUUUCAAUAGAUAACUCAUCAAUUGAAUAGAUGGGUAAUCUGUUGCAUUAAAUUGAUCACUAUUGAUUCACUCAAUUUUGUGUUACCCUUUUGUAAUGUUCUUUUUGUUUUUCUCUUAUUUGACAUCAAAUGUAUUUCUCUUGUUUUCAAAUAAAGGGAGGUAAAAUUGGAUCCACUUUUGCCUAACCAGCAUUAAAGGUUAGAGUAAAGAUAGGUUUGAAGGAAUAAGCUGCUUGCAGAUGAAACCACUUCAUAUGUGGGAGACAUGUAUUACUAAUCAACCUAGCGUGAAAACACACAUCCAGUACAAUGAUUUUGUGAAUUUUUGUUAUUUACAUAUUAGGUGUUAAUCCGUCAAACAAGAUAUGACAUUUUACUGUUAAGAUUGUUAGGUUUGAACUGGUAAGGCUGAGGAACCAAGUAGGUGGUGUCGAUACCCUGUUACAAUCGAAUGAUCGUUUAUGCUCAUUUUUUGUGUCAAGUUUGGGGAAGGGUUCAAGUUUUUGGCGGCAGUGUAAAUAUCCAAUAAUGAUUGAACCAAUUUUAAUGGUACAAUGGACUUCUUGAAAGGCCUCCAAAGCCUCGCGUUGCAACAAACAAUAAUGGAACCAAUAGAAAUUCCCCUGGUCCAAAUUUAUAUGGAUGGGUUACUGGAGGAGACUAUUAUAUAGCAGAAGGAGCUUGGGAGAAUACCUGUACGAUAAGGGAGAGAUUGAGAAGGCCAUAUAUCAUCUCAGACCUUAUUUAAGAGGAAACACAGGUUAGGAAGAAAAGUGUAGUGAAAUUAGCUAAUGAAAUUGACAUGAAAAACGAAAAAACUAGAUGAUCUGCAAAUGUGAAAGUGUAUCUAAAAAUAAAAAUUCAUCAGUCGUUGAAGAAAAAGAAGAAUGGUCAAGAGGACUGGAGCUGGUCACUUUACUAGAGACUACAACUAGAGAGCAUGGCCUCAAUGAAGACCCACAAAAUGUAGGACCGGAACUCUAAGAAAGCAGCUACGCGAGCACAGAAGGUGGUAAAAUUAUCGGUCAGAAUUAAAACCUGAACCAACUGCUCCUGAAUUAAAAAUAUAGGAACAAGCCAAGGUGGCAAUUUCUCAAGUUAAACUUGCAUCCCAUGCCUCCUGUUUAUGGCUUUGGUCAGGUCAAAGGCAAUGGAAACAACAAGGCAUGGGAUUUCUGCGCAACUUCAGACCUUUUUGUUUCUACUACCAUUGAACUGAUCAUAGCCACAAACAGAAGACAUGGCAUGCACGUUAGACUUCAAAAAUUGAAGCCUUGACUUCCCUUAUUUUUAAUUCAGGAGUUGUUGGUUCAGGUUUCAAUUCUGACCGACAAUCUUACCAAUUUCCUGUGCUCAUAAAGCUUUUUCCUUAGAGUUCUGGUCCUGUACUUUGUGAGAGUCUUCAUUGAGGCCACACUCGCUAGUUUCAUUCUCUAGCAAAGUGUCCAGCUCCAGUCCUUUUGGCCAUUUUUUUCUUUCAACAACUGACGGAUUUUUAUAUUACGAUACACUUCAUCAUUUGAAGCUCAUCCAAUUUUUUCGUUUCUCAUGUCAAUUUCAUUGGCCAGAUUCGCUAGAAUUUCCUUACUUGAUUCCCUGUGUUUCCUCUUAAACAAGGUCUGAGAUGAUAUAUGGCGUUCUCAACCUUCCCCUUUCCGUACAAGUAUUCUCCCAAGCAUCUUCUGUUGUAUAAAACUCUCCUCCAGCAAUCCAUCCAUAUAAAUUUGGAAUAGGGGAAUUUCUAUUGGUUCUAUUGUUGUUUGCUGCAGUGCAAAGCUUUGGAGGCCUUUCAAGAAGUCCAUUGCACCAUUAAAAUGAGUCCAACCACUAUUGGAUAUUUACACUACCGGUAAAAACUUGAACCCUUCCCCAAACUUGACAUAAAUACAUGAGCAUAAAUCAUUAUUAAAUUGUAACAGGGUAUCAACACCACCAUCUUGGAACCCUUCGACCUUAUCAGUUUGCACCUAUCAAACUAAAUUGUACAAUGCAGGAUCUUGUUUGAAGGAUCAGUAUCUAAUCGGUAAAAAACUGCAUUCACAAAAUCAUUGCACUUUAUUUGUGUCUGUCACGAUAGCCUGAUCAAUAAUACAUAACUCUCAUGCAUGAAAGUGGAUCCAUUGCAGGCACCUUAUUCUUCCUACUCCAUCAAGACAUGUCAGACAGUGUUGUUUAUUCAUCUGCACGCAUGUGAUUACUACUAAAAAAAGUGUGGAGAGACGUGACUUUUUAUGUUAACACAUUCAAAAUAGUUGAUGAAUCAAAAUCUCCAUCUGUUGCAAUUGAUGAAUCAGUUGUUAGAAGAAAUCAAAAUAUAUUCUCCAACAUAUGGUCCAUCUGUCGCAACAGAUAAUCUAUAUGUUGCAACAGAUGUCUCAUCUAUUAUACAUACAUACCAUCUGUUGCAACAGAUGAUAAAUCUGUUGCGAAAGAUAGACGAUCCAUUGCACCAUCUCAAUAAUAACAGUUGUUAUCAAGUCCUCAAACUGUUUUGAAAAAGUGAGAAGUAUUAAUAUAAAAGAAAAAGUUAGACUUUUCACAAAAAACAAAAUGUCAGUAGUUUGAAUGUAAUUAAUACAAUAGAGCUGAACAGUCGUGUCUUUAUACUGAGUAAAUCUAUCAAUUGGUAGUAUACAUUGUAUUACAUUCAGACUCUUUUCUUUACUUUUGUGUCUAUAUUUUUUGUCAAUUCAUGCAUGUUCUAGAUAUGGUUGUUCCUGUUUGGGACAUUGCUAUUCUGUGGACAUAGUGCGGAAACUUCAGAGGCAGGUUAAUGAUCUGUAGUGGGAGUUGGGCGCUGUGAGAGUAAGGAUUCUCCAAGAGAUUCGCAGGCUGAAGAGGCCCCUGCUGCUGCCGGUUGAAGAUUGACCGGCUGGUAAUAAUAAUGAUGCUGAUGAUAAUAAUAAUAAUAAUUAGAAUGUGUUUUUUGUUGUAGCGUAUGUAUUUUAAUUUUUCUAUAUCAGAUAUCUAUACCUAACGUAUUUUAUUUUUUUUAAUAAAAAAAUUAUUUUUAGUCGACUUUGGCUUUUUAAUUCUUAUUCAAUUUUCAUUCUGUCUAUUUCUUCUAAACAUAUAUGUUAACAUAUCGACGGUUUAAGGUAAGGAAGAAUUUUGAAUCCAGUUUACAAUAGCAAUUCUGUCUUUUGAGUUCUUUAAACAGAUGGACCAUGUGUUGGAACAGAUUGUUCGUCGGUUGGGUUUCUGUCAACAGAUUAUUCAUCUAUUGCGAUAGAUUUGUUAUCUAUUGGAGGAAAACAUUUCAGUUUGACGAACUGUAUUGUGUUCUCCCAGCUAAUGUCGAUCCAUUGCAAUAGAUUGGUAGUCUGUUCAAAAUAAUUGUGGUCUGUUGUAUUUAGUUCAUGUUUUGCCUCUUUUUAUUGAUGCACAAACUAUUAAAAAGGAUGUUUUAUGCUAGAAAUUUUGGCUUUUGAGUUCUUUCAACAGAUGGACCAUGUGUUGGAACAGAUUGUUCAUCGGUUAGGUUUCUAUCAAUAGAUUAUACAUCUAUUGCGAUAGAUUUGUCAUCUGUUGGAGGAAAACAUUCAAGUUUGAUGGAACUAUGUUGUGUUCUUCCAGUUAACGUCCAUUUGUUAAGAUGCAAUGUCGUCUUACUUUCGAGAUUUAUAAACUCAAUCAUGUAACGGUAGGCAUACAGGACUGCAUACCCAUGCUUGUGUGUCGCCUUAACAAAGUCCUUAGCAAUCCCCAUGGCUGUAUAUAUCUUCCAAUAACUGACCAGGACACCUGAUUCCGUAAGGAUUUGAUUGGCCAUAACUCUUGUUGAAGGGCCUUUACCGUCGGGGAAACUACUCAUAAAAUAUUCAUCGAGGACCUUUGCCGUGGCGUGAGGAUUUUGGAUCGAUAUGUGCUCUGAACCACUUGUGUGAUGCUUUUUAUGUUUAUGAAUGAUGAAUCUAUCAGAACUUGUGUACUUCACUGAUACGGGUGUCACGAGCUGGAGACCAUUUACUAGAAGUCAAGCUCAGGAACUACAAAGGCUUCAAGGCGUGUUUAUGAAAAUGGAUAUGGUUGAGCUUGUUACGAACUCGCCCAAAGGGGUGUACGUCUUGACAUGUGGGGGAUGACCUUAGGGGCCCAAAAGACACCCCAAGGCUUCCCCAAACACUCCACACCCGCCACCCCUUCAUUAAGGGCAAAAAGGUCUUUUUACCAUCCUUUUUUGUAAAGACUAUUUAAGGUAUUUCUUUAGUCUUGUUCUCUUUAGCUAGCUCAUUUUAAAAUCACUUUGUAACAUUGAACACCAUAUUUCCACUCAAGAAGAGAGUAUACCGCCAAACAUUUUAAGCUUCACAAGUGAAAGGUUCCACUUGUGUUGUGAGACGGCUAGAAAUGAGAGUGCUUGAGUGAACGGAGUUCCUAUUGUGUUCCCGUAAGAACUUGGUUCUUGUUAAUGUGAUUUGUAGAGGUUUUAGAGUUUGAUACACUCUAUAGUUGCUACAUUUUAUAUCUCUUUGUGUCAAGUUAUCUAUCUCCUUAUCUUUUAAGUUUGUAUGUUUGUUGUUUCCGUUUGAUGUCUUGUACGUGUGGACUGUUUUGUGAGUUUGUGGACUGUUUUGUGCUCUUGUAGAUAACAUUUGGUAUCAUUUGGUAUCAGAUAGAAGGAUGGUCAUGUUCUUACGCACCAAUCGCGGGCUCUUCUAGUUGGAAAAUUCCAAAAAAAAAAAGAAAAGAAAAGGCAAAAAAAAGUGUUAUCUGGUGACUUGUGUUGGUCGAGAAGUGUCUAGAUUUAGGUGUUAUUUUUACUUGUCUUAGUAGUUUCGUGUGUUAUAUUGUUGUCCCCCUAGAACACUUGAGUCUAAGGUCCAAGAUUUGAAGCUUUGUUUAGUGUUAUUGAAGGGCUGGACAGUGUGAAUGUUGUUGUUGUUCAUAAAUGUUCUUAUUGUUCUUCAUAAUGUUCUUGAGGUGAGUUUUUAACAAAAGGGGUGUUUGAUUUGAAAAGAGUAAGAGAGAGGUUAGGUCUUGUGUUUGUCUUGGAAAUAGUUUCAAGAAAACACCAAAGAGGCAAAUCAGCCAAAGACCCCCAAAAGUUGCCUUACCAAAAGAGUGUCAAAACCUUUUUCAAGAAGGGCCAAAAGAGGAAAGGGACAAAGCCAAAACAAAAAGGUGUUUUGCCAUUUUGGUGCAAGUUGGUGAAAAGUUUAUUGACACCUUUUUGACCUUUGGAAAAAGAGUCCAAGUCCUUGUCUUGGUACUCCAAAACUAAAAAUCCUCAUCAACACACAAGAUUGAACCCCUUAAGUCUUGAAAAAAAAAUCAUACUCCACUUCAACAACAAAUUCAAACGGCCAAAAAGAAAAAGAAGUGAGGGCCACAUCAACAACAAAACUCAAGUCGUAGGACCUUCCAAGUUUAUUUUCUUGUCUCUACUAGUUUCCUUUCUAGUGACUCCUACACUAGUUGGCAACUAAGUAAGAACCUACUAAGUUGUGAACUAGUUUUCGAGUAUGUCUUUGUGUCAACGUUCUUUGUGGUGCUUUUCUCAUUUAAAAUUCAUAGUUGUUUUUGGUUCAAGUGUGUACAAAAAUUUUUUGAGUCUUCAAAUCAAAAUCCACUCCAACUCAAGAGUCGACUGAUUCCCAAGUUCUCACAAGUUGAUAGCCGGCUUACAACACUUGAAGAACCAAGUGAGGAAGCCGAGUGUGAAGAUUGUGUGAGCGUAUUUUGAACUAACGUUUAUUCAUUUUGUAGGUGCAUUAGCAAAUGGAACCAUUACACAUGGAACCCGAAACUUCCAAUGCACAAACCAUGGACCAAAAUGUUUUGAAUGCUCUUGUGGCUAAUCUUGAAUCCUUGUCUCAGGAUGUAGCUAGAGUGAAUGUGGGUCUUGAUAAGUUAGGGGUAGAAGUGGCCUCUAUUAGUGGUCAAAUGGAAAGGGUAGAAAGCUAAUAGAGUUCUUAACCCUCAACUCCUCAAAACACAUCCCCAACCAUUACCCCCGAAGCCACACACCCAAGAAUGCACCCACCAAAUGCCAUACCUCAAGCUAACUAUUAUUCACAAGGUCGAGGCCUUGAAAGACCUAGCCAUUCUCUACAUCACCAAGUUCUACAUGACGGACUUGGAACCCAAAUGCCACCCUUAAAUCCGACUCCUCCAAAUCAAAAUCAGCCAAUCCAAAGAGCUCCACCACUAAAUACCAAUCUGCCAAACGAAAUUCCAAAUGUCCAAAACCCACCAAUAUAAGAAGAGGGAUUUGUGAGAGAGAACCGAAGGAGGGGGUAUGAAAUGUAUGAUGAUUCUUAUUUGAUGGAAGAUGGGAUGAGAGGUAGAAGGGUAGAACCUAGGAAGAAUCGGGGGCUUGAAGGUAGGGGAGACCAAGGUGUUCGGGAAAGGGAUGUUGGCCUCAACACCAUAAAAAUGGGGCUUCCAAUCUUUAUGGGAGAAAGUGAUCCAGAAGAUUUUCUCGUAUGGGAAUCCGCAUGCGAGAGAGUCUUUCAAGUGAAUGAUCUCACGGAGGAGAAACAGAGUUGCUACGCCAUUACUCAUUUUGAGGGAUAUGCUACCACGUGGUGGGAGUAUGACAAACGUUUUGGCAACGUAUUGAUUGAGGGGUAAGCCCCUUCUUGGUUUCGAUUAAGGUAUCUUAUGAGGCAAAGGUACCUUCCCAAAAGCUAUCAAUAUGAACUCCUUGCAAAAUUGUACAACUUGAAGCAAGGAAACAAAAGUGUGGCAGCUUACUAUGACGAGUUUCAACAACUCAUCUUGAAACUUGAUCAUAGAGGAGAGCAAGUGAGCAACGAUAUCAUCCGGUCAAGGUCGUCCUAAAUAAGGAAAUCUCUACGCACAUGACACUUUAUAAGUUUGAAACUAUUGAAGGGAUCUUUCAAGCGGCUUUAGAGAUUGAACGAGAGAACAAGAAAAGGUCGGCAUACAAAACCAAAUCCCACCAAGGGUCCUCGGGUUGUACCAAGGGGAAAUAAAUUGUUUCGUCAUCUUUGGGGUGGAACAAAUUUAAGCAACAACCAGCCAAGACCCCACCCGUGAGAAAGAGUGCUCAACCACUUCCUCCACGGUUUGAGGGCAAGCCGAAUGUCUCUUCCAACAUCAAGGGAUUCCAAUGCUUAAAAUGCCAUGGAUGAGGACACAAGGCUAGUGAAUGUCCUAAUCGAAGAAAUAUGAUAUUAAGGAAAGGAAAAUUGUAUGUCUUGGGGGAAGAAUUGGGGCUUGAAACGGUUGAAAAUGAAGAAGUUUCACAAGAUGGAGAGGGAGAAGAGGCCGAGAGGCAUAGUGAUGAUGAUGAAGAGGAUUUUUGGCCUCAAGAAGGCAAACUUAAAGUAUCUAACUAUGUUGUACAUAGAGUUAUGAUUAGCAAAGCGUUGGAUGAUCCUAGCCAACGGGAGAACUUCUUUCACACCAAGUGCCUCAUUAAGGGGAGUGUGUGCUCCUUGAUUAUUGAUAGCGGGAGUUGUGCUAAUGUAGCUAGUGCCUCGAUGGUGGAUCACUUGAAAUUGCCAACUACUUCACAUGCGAGUUCGUAUAGGCUUUAAUGGUUGAAUAAUUAUGGAGAGUUGAAGGUGACUCGGCAAAUAGUGAUUCCGUUCAAAGUUGGAAAUUAUGAAGACAAGGUGCUUUGCGACAUCAUUCCUAUGAAAGCUUGUAAUCUUUUGUUGGGUCGGCCAUGGCAAUAUGAUAGGUCGACCAAUCAUGAUGGCCAAACCAAAUAUUAUUCCUUUGAGUUCAAGGGUAGUAAGUAUAACCUCGGACCACUAUCACCAUCACAGGUGUGUGAGGCACAUGGACAAAUGAAGAGUUUGCAAGGAAAGGGAAAACAAGAUAAAGAACCCAUGGGUAGGGGAGAGGAACCCGAGAGUGGGAGGAGUGAGGGUAAAGAAGGUGUUUUGGUAUUGAGGGGUAGGGAUUCGAUGGUAAUGUUGGCUCUCAAGGGCAACAUUUUCAAAGAGUAUGAUGAUACUACUCCCAUGCUAUUUUUGGCUCAUGUUUUGAAUGCUAACUCAUCCACUUCUCCAAUCCCGUCUUUUAUUUCUAAUGUUUUGCAGGAAUUUGAUGAUGUAUUUUCAAGGGAGUUGCCACAAAGAUUUCCUCCACUUCGAGGAAUUGAGCACUAAAUCUAAUUUGUUCUGGGAUCGCAAUUACCAAACAAGCUAGCUUAUAGGAGCAACCCCACGGAUAUGAAGGCAAUCCAAUGGCAAGUUGAGGACCUCCUCAACAAAGGAUACAUUAAGGAAAGCAUGAGUUCGUGCGCGGUCCCGGUGUUGCUUGUGCCGAAGAAAGAUGGGACGUGGCGAGUGUGCAUGGAUUUCCGAGCCAUAAAUAAAAUUACGAUAAAGUAUCCUCACCCUAUUCCUAGGCUAAAUGAUAUGCUUGAUGAACUAAAUGGCUCUUGUGUGUUUUCUAAGGUUGAUCUUAGGAGUGGAUAUCACCAAAUCCGUAUGCAAUCGGGUGAUAAAUGGAAGACCGUAUUCAAGACCAAAUUUGAUCUAUAUGAGUGAAUGGUCAGGCCAUUUGGUCUUACCAACGCUCCUAGUACCUUUAUACGUCUAAUGAAUCAUGUAAUGAAGCCGUUUAUUGGAAAAUUUGUGGUCAUGUACUUCGAUGAUGUUUUAGUUUACAGUAAGUCUCUUAAUGAACAUGUCUUGCAUCAAAUGAGUGUGUUUAAUGUUCUUACGAAAGAAAAGUUGUAUGCUAAUAUUGAAAAAUGCUCCUUUGGUGUGGAUAAAUUUGUAUUUUUGGGAUUUGUUGUGAGCUCGAGGGGAGUAGAGGUAGAUGAAUCUAAGAUAACCGCCAUUAAAGAUUGCCCAACCCCAAAAACUGUGGGUGAAGUUCGGAGCUUCCAUGGGUUGGAAAGUUUUUAUAGGAGGUUCGUCAAAGGAUUUAGUACCAUUGUCUCCCCCUUGACCGAAAUCAUCCGAAAGGACCAACCUUUCCAGUGGGGUAAAGAGCAAUCUAAAGACUUUAAGACCUUGAAAGACAUGUUCAUUUUGGCACCGUUUUUGCAAUUGCCUAACUUUGAUAAGAUGCUUGAAGUUGAAUGCGAUACUAGUGAGAUAGGCAUUGGGGAUGUUUUGAUGCAAGAUUUAAAGCCCAUUUCUUAUUUUAGUUAAAAUCUCAAAGGAGAAACUCUAAACUACUCUACGUAUGAUUUGGAGUUGUAUGCCUUGGUUAGAGCGUUAGGCAAUUGGCAACACUAUCUUUGGCCCAAGGAGUUCGUAAUCUAAACGGAUCAUGAAUCCUUCAAGCACCUUCUGGCAUAAGAUAAACUUAACAAACGGCAUGCCAAAUGGAUUGAAUUUCUUGAAACCUUUCCCUAUGUGAUUCAAUACAAAAGGGGAAGGAUAAUGUGUUAGCCGAUGCAUUGUCUAGGAAACAUGUUCUUGUGUCCACUUUGUCUUCCAAGUUAAUGGGUUUUGAGAGCCUCAAGUCUUUGUAUCUUGAGAACCCUUACUUCGCUCCUAUAUUUAGGGAAGGUUAAGCUAUGGCCCUCGAAUUCUAGUCCUUACAUCAUGUUUGAUGGGUUCUUAUUUUGGGGGAGACGAUUGUGUGUACUUUCUAAAUCUUAGAGAGAGUUGUUUGUGAGGGAGGCACACGACGGUGGUCUCAUGGGUUACUUUGGAAUUGAUAAGACCCUCUGAAUAUUGGAGGAGCAAUUCUAUUGGCCAAGAAUGCGCAAAGAUGUUGUCAAAAAUUGCGGCCAAUGCAUAGAUUAUAGGAGUGCUAAGUCGAGGCUCCUUCCUCACGGGUUAUACACCCCACUUCCCACUCCAUCAUGCCCAUGGUUUGAUAUUUGUAUGGAUUUUGUGUUGGGGAUGCCACGGACUCAAAGGGGUCGGGAUAGCAUUUUUGUUGUCGUUGAUCGUUUCUCCAAAAUGGCACACUUUAUUCCUUGGAAAAAUAGUGAAGAUGCGGCUAGUGUAGCUUCUUUAUUUAUUGAAGAUGUUUUUAAGUUACACGGCAUCCCAAGAACCAUUGUAAGUGAUAGGGAUUCUAAGUUCCUUAUUCACUUUUGGAAGUCAAUGUAGGGUAGGCUCGGCACUAAAUUGUUGUUUUCUACAUCUUGCCACCCACAAACCAAUGGACAAAGGAAAGUAGUAAAUUAAACCUUGGGUUCUAUGCUAUGUUCCAUGGUUAAAGGUAAUUUGACAUCUUGGGAAAAUCACCUGCCUCUCAUAGAAUUUGCUUACAAUCGGGUGAUUCAUUCGAAUACAGGCAUUACGCCCUUUGAAUGUGUCUACGGCUUCAAUCCCCUAACCCCCUUGGAUCUAAAUCCUUUUCCAAGUGAUGUUGUUAUUAGCUUAUAUGGAAACAAUAGGGCCUAAUCCAUGAAAAUCUUGCAUAAGAAGGUGAGGAUGCGGCUUGAGAAUAAAAAGAAAGAUGUGGCGAAAUGAGUCAACAAAGGGAGAAAGUGUCUUAUACUUGAGCCGGGAGAUUGGGUGUGGGUACACCUACGUAAGGACAGGUUUCCCAAACAAAUAAAGGGAAAGUUUCUUCCAAGAGGUGACGGUCCAUUCCAAGUUCUUGAAAGAAUCAAUGAUAAUCCUUACAAGAUCGACUUUCACUGGAAUACCAAGUGCAUAACACGUUCAACGUGUGUGAUCUCUCACGAGUAGAUACCAUUGAAUAUUAAGAAACCAUGAGUUUGAGGUCAAAAUCUUCUCAAGAUGGAGAGGAUGAUACGGGUGUCUUAGACCUGAGACCAUUUACUAGAAGUCAAGCUCGGGAACUACAAAGGCUUCACGGCGCGUUUAUGAAAAUAGACGCGGUUGAGAUUGUUACAAAUUCUCACAAGGAGGUGUACGUCUAGAAAUGUAGGUGCUGACCUUAGGGUCCCAAAAGACACUCCAAGGCUUCCUCAAACACUUCACACCCGCCACCCCUUCAUUAAGGGCAAAAAGGUCUUUUUACCAUUCUUUUUUGUAAAGACUAUUUAAGGUGUUUCUUUGGUCUUGUUCUCUUUAUAUAGCUCAUUUUAAAAUCACUUUGUAACAUUUAACACCAUAUUUCCUCUCAAGAAGAGAGUAGACCACCAAGCAUUUUAAGCUUUAUAAAUGAAAGGUUCCACUUGUGUUAUGAAAUGGCUAGAAACGAGAGUGCUUGAGUGAACGGAGUUCCUCUUGUGUUCCCGUAAGAGCUUGGUGCUUGUUAAUGUGAUUUGUAGAGGUUUUAGAGUUUGAUACACUCUUUAGUUGCUAUAUUUUAUAUUCUCUUUGUGUCAAGUUAUCUAUCUCCUUAUCUUUCAAAUUUGUGUGUUUGUUGUUUCCGUUGGAUGUCUUGUAUGUGUGGACUAUUUUGUGAGUUUGUGGAUUAUUUUGUGCUCUUGUAGAUACCAGUUGGUAUCAUUCACUGCUCUCAACCACCACUUACAGUUUGUAUUAGCACAUUUGAAGCAAAAGACACUGCUCGAUUAAUCACCUUCUUUAUUCUGAAAUCUUUUUUCAAGUAAGAAAUAAAUAAAGUGGUAAAUAAUUCAUUCUUGUCCUUCAAUGACAUUCCAAUAAAAAGUUAGUCCCUUCAUCUUGAAUAUUUCCAGAAUGUGUCAAUUGAGAAGAACUACCCAUUGUAUUAGUCGCAUCAAUGGGCGUAGGUGUUUGAUCGUCAUCUGGAAUAUUCAUUUCUAGAUCAUCUAACCUAUCAUCAAAGAUGUAUUGUUGUUGCUGUUCUUUUACGUUUUGGUUCUCAUUCUCUCUCCUCUUUUUAACCACGUACACCCUUAACAUCGGCCUGGAUAAAUCAUUAAGAUAAGCACGUAAACGAACCUGAUCGGUUAUCUUGAAAGGUAGUACCCUCUAAUGUUCAAAGGAGUUGUGCAUGUAGCUGAUGACGAGUUCUUUCGGUUGAUAAUUCAGUUCACAAUAGCUUAUGACUAAGAUCACAAAAUCAUCGUAUGAAAUAUCACUUUGGACUGUCAUAGCUAUCAUCUCUAGCAUUUCACUCUCCUUCCAGUGCCAUACAUAUCGAUUGCUCUUCUCGAUCCAUUGACUAUGACAAUCCACUCCUAUUGUUAUUGAUCCCUCCAUUAGUGGUACCUAAAUAAAGUAAUUUGUUAAAAAAAGUUAAUAAUGAUUUCAUAGUGCCAUAACAUGAAUCCCAACAGAUGUGUAACCUGUUGCAACAGAUAAGUGAUCAAUCGCAACAAAUUACUAACCUGUUAGAAUUAUGUUACGCUUCUGGAGCUGAUUUCAACAGAUGAGUCAUCUGUUAUAACAGGUGAAACAUCUGUUGCAACAGACUAUGAGGUUGUUGGAACGAUUAUAGGUUCUGUUGCAACCGGUUAUUAAUCUGUUGCAAUAGAUAUUUACCCUACUGCAAUAGAUAACUAGUUUAUCGGAAUUGAGCUUAGGUUCUGUUACAACAGGUAACUAAUCUGUUGCAAUAGAUAUUUACCCCUAUUGCAAUAGAUAACUAGUUUGUUGCAACAGAUAACCCAUCUGUUCGAUUCAAUCAUAAACAUAAAUCCAACAUAUCUCUUCCGUUGCAACAGAUGGCUCAUAUGUUGUAACAGAUGAUUGAUUUGUUUAAACAGAUGUCUCUUAUGUUGCAUUCAUGUUCGUGUGCUAUCUAUUGUUGAAAAAACAGCACAAUAACUGUUACCUAGAUGACAAAUUCAACUAAAAAUCAUAAUUUGACUUAUCAAAGUCUCCCGUGAAGUAAUGCCAAAGUGGAAAGUUAUGUAUGAAAUAAAAUUUUACCUAAGAAAUUAGUCAGAUAGCACCAGUAGCGGUAACAAAAACGAUAAUGGUCAACAAGAAGAAGAUAAAGAUGAUAAUGAAGUAGAAGAUGAUGAUAAUGAAGCAGAAGAUGAUGAAGAAAGCAGCAACAAUAAUGAACAACAAAAAUCGCUAAUAGAAAGAAAACAACAAUAGAUGAGAAGAGGGAGAAACACGUCUUUUUUCUCUCUGUUUCUCAUUAUAUUAGGUAAAUAUUUGGAUCAAAGUGUAUAUUUAAAAACAUCUGGGUUAUUUUGAAAUUUUUCCAACUUUCUUAAUCCUUAAUAAAGUAAUUGUCACCUCUACUCAAUUAUUAAGACUUAUAUCACCUACACUUCAUUUUAAAAUUCUUUUAUCACCUACAGCUCAAAGCCUCUAGUGAUUAAGGCUAUUGAAGUUGUGUGUAGACGGUUCUUAUGGACAGAAGGCACUGAGAAGUCCCAUAAGCACUAGUUUCUUGGAAAACACUCUGCAAACCAAUCUCUCCCAGAGGGCUUAAUAUUGAUGAUAUAUUGACAUGGAAUAAAGUAGCAAUAUGUAAAAUGCUCUGGAACAUAUGCAACAAAAAAGAUAAGCUUUGGAUUCAAUGGAUUCAUACGUACUAUGGGAAGAAGUGUCCAAAAUGGGCAGUAUAUCCUAAGCAAGCAUCAUGGGUCCUAAAAAAGAAAGCCAGUUGGUGGGUAAGGAAAGCAGGCCUCCAACUAAUUGAUUUUGCAGAUAUAGAUAAGUAUUCUAUAAAAACAAUGUACCUUAAACUCAGGGGAAAUUUCCAAAAGGUAACAUGGCAUAGGCUAAUAUGCAAUAAUAUGGGGGCUCAAAGAUAGAAAUUCAUACUCUACCUUGCAAUCUUAGGCAGGUUGAGUACCAAAGAGAGACUAGUUUUUUGGGGUGUGGUGGAUGAUCUACUAUGUCUUUUAUGUGGACAGGGGGAUGAAUAUACUGAACACUUAUUCUUCGACUGUUCUUUCUCUGCUUCUAUCUGGACUAAUUUACUAAAGUGGCAAGGUAUAGAUAGACAACCUGCUAGAUGGACAGAAGAACUAACAUGGUUUGUGGCCAACAUGCAAGGGAAAUCUGCACAAGCAGAGGUGUAUAGAGCAACAGUAACAGCUGGUGUAUAUCAUCUAUGGCAAGAAAGGAACUUGAGGGUCUUCCAAAGUAAACAAAGGACACCUACUAUACUUACAAGGCAGAUCAUCCAAGAGGUGUACCUUAGAGGAUCGCUGAAGAUCCAACUAGCACUUAGACUACUAGAUCUUAAUUUUUUUCCUUAGUGAUUUAACCUACAGUAGCAAAGUUAUGCUCUUGCUUAGUUUGGCCUGAAACUUGGGACUAUAUCCAAGAGCAGGAACUAAGUAGGAAUUUUGUUAUUUGUGCUACACUCAUCUUACUUUGGUAAUAAAAUUAUUGAGUUACCAAAAAAAAGCAUGAACUUGUUAAAAAUUUGAAUCACUUUAUCUGUAAUCAUACGUUAAAGACAUCUUUUUUUCUUCCCCAGAGUCAUCCCAAAUUCAAUAUUUAGAAUUCUUAAAGAACCAUCAAGAUCCUAUUCAUUUUAUUCCUAUCAAUCUAAAUCACAAAACAAAAGAAUAAUUUAAAUAGUACCUUUUGCAUUGCGAUCAUUCAUGCAACCAAUUGGUCUUUAAUUGUUUUGUCGACAUGUAACCUCAUGUGUGCACGAUCCUCUUCUAGUGUACUUUGUAACUAAGCAGUCGUUUGUUCACGUUCUUCUUGCAUUUUCCUAUUCAUUUCUGCACAUACUUAUAGCUAUAAUGGUAAAAAUAAGGUAAUUCUAAUAUAUAACUAUAUAGGCUUUUAUGUAUAGCAAUCUGAGAGAAUUUAUAGUUAAAACCUCUAUUGCUAUCUAUCAUUUUUCUGCUUACUACAGAGGAUAGAUAAGUGUUCGAUUGUAUUUUAAGAGAUUUUUACGUAAAAGUUAGGUUAAAUCGUAUUGUUUAGAUAUCUUAAUUAUCGUAUUGUUUUGUCGUAGUCUCUGCUUUGUUGGUAUAAGCUAUUGUUUCUACUUAAUACAAGUGGCUAGAUGAAUGUUCGGUUGGACUAUAAAUAAUUUUUGUAUAAAGAUAAGGUUUAAUCGUACUAUUAUGAUAUCUUGAUUAUCAUAUUGUUUGUCUGAUUUGUUGCUAUUGCUUUUUUUUUUUUCUGGUUAAUACAGGCGGUGGAUGAAUGUUCUUUCGGGCUUUAAAUUUUUUUUUUUAUAAAAGUGAGGUUUAAUCUAUUGUUGCAAUAUCUCGAUUUUCAUAUUGUUUGUCUGUUCUGUUGCUAUCUGCUUUUUUUCUGCUUAAUACAGUUGAUUACAGGAGAAGUUACAACACUAAGGUUAGUUUGUGUCGUAGUUUUUUCUUAUUCUUAUUGGGAUAAUUUUUUUCUUUUGAGUAGGAGUCCAUUUUUUGUUCCUCAAACUAUUAUUAUUAUUAUUUAUAUUUAUUGU
rnacentral:lncRNA from 1 species